rnacentral:rRNA from 1 species
UGGGGAAUAUUGCACAAUGGGCGCAAGCCUGAUGCAGCCAUGCCGCGUGUAUGAAGAAGGCCUUCGGGUUGUAAAGUACUUUCAGCGAGGAGGAAUGCGUUGUGGUUAAUAACCGCAACGAUUGACGUUACUCGCAGAAGAAGCACCGGCUAACUCCGUGCCAGCAGCCGCGGUAAUACGGAGGGUGCAAGCGUUAAUCGGAAUUACUGGGCGUAAAGCGCACGCAGGCGGUCUGUCAAGUCGGAUGUGAAAUCCCCGGGCUCAACCUGGGAACUGCAUCCGAAACUGGCAGGCUAGAGUCUUGUAGAGGGGGGUAGAAUUCCAGGUGUAGCGGUGAAAUGCGUAGAGAUCUGGAGGAAUACCGGUGGCGAAGGCGGCCCCCUGGACAAAGACUGACGCUCAGGUGCGAAAGCGUGGGGAGCAAACA